UCUGCAACCUUGGGGCUGGGGUGGG
rnacentral:misc_RNA from 1 species